rnacentral:rRNA from 1 species
AUUGAACGCUGGCGGCAGGCUUAACACAUGCAAGUCGAGCGAGAGGAGGACGGGUGAGUAAUGUCUGGGAAACUGCCUGAUGGAGGGGGAUAAAUACUGGAAACGGUAGCUAAUACCGCAUACCAUCAGAUGUGCCCAGAUGGGAUUAGCUAGUAGGUGGGGUAAUGGCUCACCUAGGCGCCGAUCCCUAGCUGGUCUGAGAGGAUGACCGGCCACACUGGAACUGAGACACGGUCCACACUCCUACGGGAGGCAGCAGUGGGGAAUAUUGAGCAAUGGGCGCAAGUCUGAUGAAGCCAUGCCGCGUGCGUGAAGAAGGUUUUCGGAUUGUAAAGCACUUUCAGUGGGGAGGCGUUACUUGAAGAGGAAGCCCCGGCUAACUACGUGCCAGCAGCCGCGGUAAUAC